UACGAAGGGGGCUAGCGUUGCUCGGAAUCACUGGGCGUAAAGCGCACGUAGGCGGCUUCUUAAGUCAGGGGUGAAAUCCUGGAGCUCAACUCCAGAACUGCCUUCGAUACUGGCGAUCUCGAGUUCGGGAGAGGUGAGUGGAACUGCGAGUGUAGAGGUGAAAUUCGUAGAUAUUCGCAAGAACACCAGUGGCGAAGGCGGCUCACUGGCCCGGUACUGACGCUGAGGUGCGAAAGCGUGGGGAGCAAACAGG
rnacentral:rRNA from 1 species